AGUGAACGCUGGCGGCGUGCUUAACACAUGCAAGUCGAACGAGAACGGAUUAUAGCUUGCUAUAAUUGUCAGCUAAGUGGCGCACGGGUGAGUGAUGUAUAGGUAAUAUGCCUCUUACUAAGGGAUAACAAAUGGAAACGUUUGCUAAUACCUUAUACUCCUUAUUAACAUAAGUUAAUAAGGGAAAGAUUUAUUGGUAAGAGAUUAGCCUGUAUUGUAUCAGUUAGUUGGUGGGGUAAUGGCUUACCAAGACUAUGACACAUAACUGGUUUGAGAGGAUGAUCAGUCACGCUGGAACUGAGACACGGUCCAGACUCCUACGGGAGGCAGCAGUGGGGAAUAUUGCACAAUGGACGAAAGUCUGAUGCAGCAACGCCGCGUGGAGGAUGACACAUUUCGGUGCGUAAACUCCUUUUAUAUGAGAAGAUAAUGACGGUAUUAUAUGAAUAAGCACCGGCUAACUCCGUGCCAGCCGCCGCAGUAA
rnacentral:rRNA from 1 species